CAGGCCUAACACAUGCAAGUCGAACGGUAAGGCCCCUUCGGGGGUACACGAGUGGCGAACGGGUGAGUAACACGUGAGCAACCUGCCCUUGACUAAGGAAUAACAGCUGGGAACAGCUGCUAAUACCGGAUAUGACGCACUACCUCAUGGCAGUGCGUGGAAAGCUCUGGCGGUCAAGGAUGGGCUCGCGGCCUAUCAGCUAGUUGGUGAGGUAACGGCUCACCAAGGCUUCGACGGGUAGCCGGCCUGAGAGGGCGACCGGCCACACUGGGACUGAGAUACGGCCCAGACUCCUACGGGAGGCAGCAGUGGGGAAUAUUGCACAAUGGGCGAAAGCCUGAUGCAGCAAUGCCGCGUGCGGGAUGACGGCCUUCGGGUUGUAAACCGCUUUCAGCGCCGACGAAGCGAAAGUGACGGUAGGCGCAGAAGAAGGACCGGCUAACUACGUGCCAGCAGCCGCGGUAU
rnacentral:rRNA from 1 species